rnacentral:antisense_RNA from 1 species
GAGGAAUGGGAUAUUCCGACUCCUUAAGGGCCUGGAGCACAUAAGGUGUGACCUUUUCAUUCCCGUUGUCAUGGAGGGCCACAUCUGCCAGAGCCUGGAGUCUGCGAAGGCCGGGACCCGGUUCCCCGGCCCGCCGUGGGGAGUGUGCAAACCCGAGAGAACUGGGUUGCAAAUUCGUGAAGAAUCAGCAGCAUGUUUGGCAGCUGAGUAUUGGAGCCAGGAGCCUGCCAUGAGGUUUUGAGAACAGGGUGCUGUUUUAGAGCUGGCAGCAGCAUCUCAGCCCAAGAGAAGGUUAUAUUCCCAGAGGAUGUCAGUCCCAAGGACCAGUAGCUGCCAUCAGUUUGGAUUCUGAAAACUAACCGGCAUCAACAUUGGGUGUAGAAACAUGCUUGCCUUGUGUAUCAGAGGACAUGCUCAGCAGAUCCAAGAGAUAUAUUUGGCAACUUUUUCUAGAAAAGGCACAUUAGGUAUCAUUCAUUACAUUCUUGAGUUUUUUUGGGGUUUUUUUUUUUUUUGAGACAGUCUUGCUGUGUUGCCCAGGCUGGAGUGUGGUGGCACAAUCACAGCUCAUUGCAGCCUCAAUCACCCAGGCCUAAGCAAUCCUCCCACCUUGUAGCUGGGACUACAGCUCACAGCACACCUGGCUAAAAUUUUUUUUUGUUGAGACGGAUUCUCUAUGUUGCUCAGGCUGGUCUCAAGCUCCUGGGCUUAGAUGGUCCUCCUGCCUCAGCUUCCAAAGGCACAGGCCAAG